rnacentral:lncRNA from 1 species
UUCAUCAUCUCAACAAAAGAAAAAAAAACUUCCAAUCUCAUUUUAUCUCCAUUAUUUUCUACACCAAAAUUGGGUCCCACAACCCGGUUCUUUGUCUAGAGGAUAGCAGUUGAGUACUAGUGGUGGUCUCGGGUAGAAUUGGUAAGAAGACAUCAAACCUUUUGAAAGCUUCAAAGGUAAUACUUCUUAAAACCCUAAUUUGAUUAGUUUAUGGUUACAUGUUAAUUGUGGCAAUUAGGGUAGAAAUUCGAUUCUUUUUCCGCUGUGCAUGACUUAGUUCUAUCAUGUGGUAUCAGAGCAUGCUUCAUUUUUACCCAAUUGCAUGUGGUGGGUUCAUAUUUAUUAGAUAAAUUUUGGUUUGAACUAAAAUGGAUAUAUUAUGAUUUUGGCUCUAGAUUAAGUGUUUUUGUUCUAAUUAUUGUAAUUAGCCUUGUUAAUGGCUUAUUUUUAUUGUUGCAAAGUGUUUGUAAUUUUUUAAAAAAUAAAAAAAGUCAUUAGAGUUGAAGCUAGGCUGUAAUUGGUUCAACCGGGUGAGAGAAUUGAAAAAAAUGAAGAAAAGAAGGUCACAGACCCGAAAACCCGGCCUUGACCCGCUUCGCGACCCGCACCGCGCCCGCGCGCCCUCCUGCGUCCGCACGCCCGCCGCCCGCCGCGCCUGCGCCCGCGCGCCGCAUGCGCCCGCGCGCCCCUGCGCCCGCCUGCCGCCGACCCGUGUGCGCCUGGGCCGGUUCAAGCCAAUAAAUUUGGGCCGGUUCAAGCGGUUUCGGUUGGUUUUUCAGCCGGUUCGAAGUUUUUGGGAGUGGUUCUGUACUACACCAAAUUAAUUAUGUAAUAAUUUAGUACUUAGCUUAAUUUAGGAGCCAAAAAUCAGUCCAUUUUAGGGUGUUUUUUUUUAUUUAUGCAUGUGAUGUAUGAUUAAAUUACUUUAAAUUUGUAUGUGCAUUUUGAAUGUCAUAUAGAUUUAAAAUCCCACCAUAGGUUAACAUGUUCAUGCAUUAAAAUGUAUGAUAUAAAGGUUAUAUUGUAUUGUAUGCAUGUUAAUUGAUUAAUAUGGAAAUUAAUUAAUAUGAUUAAUUAAUUAUUUAAUUAAUUAAGUUAUUCUUGAUUAAAUAUGAUUUAAUCAAAUUAAUUAAUUAUUGUUUGAUUUAAUUUAAUUAAAGUUAAAUAAAUUAAAAUCCAUAUUAAUUGAUUGUUUUUAUUAUAUAUUGAUAAAAUGAUUGAUUAAGUUUAAAAGUUUUUAUAAGUGUUAUAAAAUAAAUUAGACUUUUAAAAUCAAUAACAAAGAUUAAAUGCAUGCUCACUUAGGUUAAACAUAUCUUCCAUUUUUCAUAGAAAUAGGUCGAUAUCUUGUAAAACUGGUUACAAAAGGCUCACCUGGUUCAAUCUUGUCAACAAGUCAGAUAAGAUGACUAAGGUUGGAGGUUCUUAAGUUGACGGUUUACGGAACACCUCCUACCUGGAGAUCGUAAUCAGUUCUUGAGCCUAGUUAACCUAGUUUUAUGAGCAUUCGUGAGAGGUGUGAGGUAAUAAAAAUGGUUUUUCACCUAGACAUCAUAGGUUAAAAUCCUGUAUAAUGGUUAUACUUGGAUGUUUUAUCUAGACUUAAGAUUUGUUUAAGUUAGCCUAAAUAUAAAUCUUGAAGCUUGGAUUACCCUAUUUUUUUCUUUAGAACACUUCAACUAGAGAAAAAUAAUGUAUUUUAGCUCUAGUGUCCCUAAGAGUUCACACCGUGAGGUCCAUGCAGGGCUUUGUGCCGUGCAUAGGAGCGGCCUCCCUUCGGAGAGUGUUUGCAUGGAUCAAAAUCAAGGUGAAUAGGGGAAGUAGUUCAUAGUAAGUGGGUGAGGGAUUUGUGGCAGCACAUCCCACGGUCUCUUCCAUUAGGUCGCACCGUGAGAUUUCUAUAAUAUGCCUGCUUGUCUGCCCUGGAGCGACGUUCCCUUCGGAGGGUUGUAUUAUAGGAUUCGGAACACCGCGAACUCCAAAUCUGGAUAGGUUUUCUUAGAUUAGUUUUCAUAAAUGAUUCUAAUCUAUGAAAUCUGAAAAUGGUGGGUAACACUUACAAGAAUUACUAAGUUGUUAGUAUAUUCUUGACUAAAGUAGCGAUAACUAAGUGCUAUAAAGAAUAAAGAGUUAUUCUAGAGAUAGCAUCUAGUCAAGAUUGUCUUGGUUCAAAGGAGGAAUAAUCAACUACCCUUCGGAGAAGGUUGUUCUAAACCUUUGAAAUAUUGUUGCAAAAUACAAAUAAUGAAAGGGUACAUUAUUAGUAAUUGCUAAAUUAGAUUGGAUAUUUUUUAUGAUUAUAGUUUUUUCCUAAAAAGAAUAUGUUUGUUUUUCAGCAUGAAUAGCUCAAUAGUUCAACUUUUAGCUUCCGAAAAACUUAAUGGCGAUAAUUAUGCGGCUUGGAAAUCAAAUCUUAACACAAUACUAGUGGUUGACGAUUUAAGAUUUGUCUUAACUGAGGAAUGUCCUCAAAACCCUGCCUCUAAUGCUAACCGAACUAGUCGGGAUGCAUAUGAUCGAUGGAUAAAAGCUAAUGAAAAAGCCCGUGUCUACAUUCUUGCCAGCAUGUCUGAUGUAUUGGCAAAGAAACAUGAAUCCUUAGCCACGGCUAAAGAGAUUAUGGAUUCAUUAAGGGGAAUGUUUGGGCAACCAGAAUGUCCUUAAGACACGAGGCAGUCAAAUACAUUUACACUAAGCGUAUGAAGGAAGGGACCUCUGUUAGAGAACAUGUUCUGGACAUGAUGAUGCACUUCAACAUCGCUGAAGUGAAUGGUGGUCCCAUCGAAGAGGUUAAUCAAGUUAGUUUUAUCUUAGAGUCUCUUCCGAAGAGCUUCAUUCCAUUCCAAACGAAUGCGUCUUUGAACAAGAUAGAAUUUAACUUGACAACCCUUCUGAAUGAACUCCAGCGAUUCCAAAACCUUACUAUGGGUAAAGGAAAACAAGUGGAAGCAAAUGUUGCUACCACAAAAAGAAAAUUUAUAAGAGGAUCGUCCUCUAAAACCAAAGCUGGACCCUCAAAACCUAAUGCUCAAAUAAAAAAGAAGGGAAAGGGAAAGACUCCCAAACAGAACAAGGGUAAGAAAGGUGCAGAAAAAGGUAAGUGUUACCAUUGUGGCCAAAACGGGCACUGGUUAAGAAACUGCCCAAAAUACCUUGCAGAAAAAAAGGCAGAGAAGGAAACACAAGGUAAAUAUGAUUUACUAGUUGUAGAAACAUGUUUAGUGGAAUAUGAAAAUUGUACCUGGAUACUAGAUUCAGGAGCCACUAACCAUAUUUGCUUCUCAUUUCAGGAAAAUAGUUCUUGAAAAAGCUUUCAGAAGGCGAGAUCACUCUCAAGGUUGGAACAGGAGAGAUGGUCUCACUUCAGCAGUGGGAGAUUUAAAGUUGUUUUUUAGAGAUAGAUAUGUCAUACUUAA